GAUGAAGAACGCAGCGAAAUGCGAUAAGUAAUGUGAAUUGCAGAAUUCAGUGAAUCAUCGAAUCUUUGAACGCACAUUGCGCCCGCCAGUAUUCUGGGGGGCAUGCCUGUCUGAGCGUCAUUUCAACCCUCAUGCCCCUAGGGCGUGGUGUUGGGGAUCGGCCAAAGCCCGCGAGGGACGGCCGGCCCCUAAAUCUAGUGGCGGACCCGUCGUGGCCUCCUCUGCGAAGUAGUGAUAUUCCGCAUCGGAGAGCGAUGAGCCCCUGCCGUUAAACCCCCAACUUUCCAAGGUUGACCUCAGAUCAGGUAGGAAUACCCGCUGAACUUAAGCAUAUCAAUAAGCGGAGGA
rnacentral:misc_RNA from 1 species